rnacentral:rRNA from 1 species
GACGAACGCUGGCGGCGUGCUUAACACAUGCAAGUCGAACGCUGAAGCCCGUUUUCGGGUGGAUGAGUGGCGAACGGGUGAGUAACACGUGAGUAACCUGCCCUUCACUUUGGGAUAACCUUCGGAAACGGGGGCUAAUACUGGAUAUGACUCAUGGCCGCAUGGUUGUGGGUGGAAAGAUUCUUUGGUGGGGGAUGGGCUCGCGGCCUAUCAGCUUGUUGGUGGGGUGAUGGCCUACCAAGGCGACGACGGGUAGCCGGCCUGAGAGGGCGACCGGCCACACUGGGACUGAGACACGGCCCAGACUCCUACGGGAGGCAGCAGUGGGGAAUAUUGCACAAUGGGCGCAAGCCUGAUGCAGCGACGCCGCGUGGGGGAUGACGGCCUUCGGGUUGUAAACUCCUUUCGUCAGGGAAGAAGCCCUUUUGGGGUGACGGUACCUGGAGAAGAAGCACCGGCUAACUACGUG